rnacentral:rRNA from 1 species
UACGAAGGGGGCUAGCGUUGUUCGGAAUUACUGGGCGUAAAGCGCGCGUAGGCGGCUAUCUAAGUCAGUGGUGAAAGCCCGGAGCUCAACUCCGGAACUGCCAUUGAAACUGUUUAGCUUGAGGAUGAGAGAGGUGAGUGGAAUUCCCAGUGUAGAGGUGAAAUUCGUAGAUAUUGGGAAGAACACCGGUGGCGAAGGCGGCUCACUGGCUCAUUACUGACGCUCAGGCGCGAUAGCGUGGGGAUCAAACAGG